rnacentral:rRNA from 1 species
UACGUAGGGACCAAGCGUUGUUCGGAUUUACUGGGCGUAAAGGGCGCGUAGGCGGCAAUUCAAGUCAUCUGUGAAAUCUCCGGGCUUAACCCGGAACGGUCAGAUGAUACUGCUUUGCUAGAGUGCGGAAGGGGCAAUCGGAAUUCUCGGUGUAGCGGUGAAAUGCGUAGAUAUCGAGAGGAACACCUGCGGCGAAGGCGGGUCUCUGGGCCGAUACUGACGCUGAGGAGCGAAAGCGUGGGGAGCGAACAGG